AUUGGACGCUGGCGGCAGGCUUAACACAUGCAAGUCGAGCGGAGAUGAGGUGCUUGCACCUUAUCUUAGCGGCGGACGGGUGAGUAAUGCUUAGGAAUCUGCUUAUUAGUGGGGGACAACAUUCCGAAAGGAAUGCUAAUACCGCAUACGUCCUACGGGAGAAAGCAGGGGAUCUUCGGACCUUGCGCUAAUAGAUGAGCCUAAGUCGGAUUAGCUAGUUGGUGGGGUAAAGGCCUACCAAGGCGACGAUCUGUAGCGGGUCUGAGAGGAUGAUCCGACACACUGGGACUGAGACACGGCCCAGACUCCUACGGGAGGCAGCAGUGGGGAAUAUUGGACAAUGGGGGGAACCCUGAUCCAGCCAUGCCGCGUGUGUGAAGAAGGCCUUAUGGUUGUAAAGCACUUUAAGCGAGGAGGAGGCUACUGAGACUAAUACUCUUGGAUAGUGGACGUUACUCGCAGAAUAAGCACCGGCUAACUCUGUGCCAGCCGCCGCCGUAAAAC
rnacentral:rRNA from 1 species